rnacentral:rRNA from 1 species
AUGAGUUCGUCUCGAAUGGAAGCCUCGAUGAAAUUCUUCAUAGCCGCGAUGCCUCUCAACUUGGAUGUGCGUCUGAAUAUCGUCGCAGAAUCCGCACAAGGUCUGGCUUAUCUGCAUUCACAAGCCCGUGCCAAAACAGUGCAUGGUGAUGUCAAAUCAGCAAACAUACUCUUGGAUGAUGACUUUGUGCCAAAGAUCUCAGACGUUAGCAUAACGAAGUUGAUUGAUCUGAGUGAUUGGCGAUACAGUAGCAUUCUCGUUGGCGGCGGGAGUUAUAUUAGGGAUCCAGUGUACGCGCAGACAGGCCUGCUGACCGAAAAAACUGACGUCUACUGUUUUGGAAUUGUGAUCUUGGAGGUCAUUAGCGGGAAGAAGCCCAAUCAUUAUGAUGAUAGCAGUCGCAGCCUGGCGAGGCGGUUCGUUGAAGUUCACAAAGAGGGGAAGAAAGCAACCCAUCGGUUUGACAUGAACAUGGAUAUUGCAGUGACAACAGGAGACCUGGAAAUUCUUGGCCAUCUUGCAGAGAUUGCUGUGGAAUGUAUUAACUUUGACGCGGAUCAAAGGCCCACGAUGACAGAUGUCGCGGAGCGCCUCCUCACGCUGAAUCGAUCUCGUAGGCCUCAAGCUGUUUAG